rnacentral:rRNA from 1 species
UACGAAGGGGGCUAGCGUUGUUCGGAAUCACUGGGCGUAAAGCGCACGUAGGCGGAUUGUUAAAUCGGGGGUGAAAUCCUGAGGCUCAACCUCAGAACUGCCUUCGAUACUGGCAAUCUCGAGUCCGGAAGAGGUUGGUGGAACAGCUAGUGUAGAGGUGAAAUUCGUAGAUAUUCGCAAGAACACCGGUGGCGAAGGCGGCCAACUGGACCAUUACUGACGCUGAGGCGCGAAAGCGUGGGGAGCAAACAGG